GGGGGACUCGGCGGAAAAUAUGGUGGUAUACUACACAGUGAAUAGAUAUACCCGUAUAUUUUUCUGCCGAGCCCCU
rfam:Caenorhabditis briggsae complete genome, chrX